rnacentral:rRNA from 1 species
UACGUAUGGAGCAAGCGUUAUCCGGAUUUACUGGGUGUAAAGGGAGUGUAGGUGGCCAGGCAAGUCAGAAGUGAAAGCCCGGGGCUCAACCCCGGGACUGCUUUUGAAACUGCAGGGCUGGAGUGCAGGAGGGGCAAGUGGAAUUCCUAGUGUAGCGGUGAAAUGCGUAGAUAUUAGGAGGAACACCAGUGGCGAAGGCGGCUUGCUGGACUGUAACUGACACUGAGGCUCGAAAGCGUGGGGAGCAAACAGG